rnacentral:rRNA from 1 species
UACGAAGGGGGCUAGCGUUGCUCGGAAUCACUGGGCGUAAAGGGUGCGUAGGUGGAUUUUUAAGUCAGGGGUGAAAUCCUGGAGCUCAACUCCAGAACUGCCUUUGAUACUGGGAAUCUUGAGUUCGGGAGAGGUGAGUGGAACUGCGAGUGUAGAGGUGAAAUUCGUAGAUAUUCGCAAGAACACCAGUGGCGAAGGCGGCUUACUGGUCCGGUUCUGACGCUGAGGCGGCGAAAGCGUGGGGAGCAAACAGG